AUGGCUGCUUUGGCAACUGUUCUCUUCACAGGUGUCUGGAGGCUGCACUGUGGUGCAGCCGCUUGGGCGGGCGGCCAGCCAGUGGCGACUACAGCAGGGACUGGCGGCCAACCCCUCCGGCUACGGGCCCCUUACAGAGCUCCCAGACUGGUCAUAUUGCAAGACGAGUUGUACUGCUGUCACAGGAAAUGGACGCUGGAUUACAAGCAUGGCAGCUCAGGCAGCAGAAGUUGCAGGAAGAACAAGGAAGCAGGAAAAUGCUCUUAAACCCAAAGGGGCUUCACUGAAGAGCCCACUUCCAAGUCAAUAAAAAGCAACUCUUCCCUCCCUUCCUCA